AUACGUAGGGGGCGAGCGUUGUCCGGAAUGAUUGGGCGUAAAGGGCGCGUAGGCGGCCCGGUAAGUCUGGAGUGAAAGUCCUGCUUUUAAGGUGGGAAUUGCUUUGGAUACUGUCGGGCUUGAGUGCAGGAGAGGUAGGGGGAAUUCCCAGUGUAGCGGUGAAAUGCGUAGAGAUUGGGAGGAACACCAGUGGCGAAGGCGACUUACUGGACUGUAACUGACGCUGAGGCGCGAAAGUGUGGGGAGCAAACAGGAUUAGAUACCCUGGUAGUCCACACUGUAAACGAUGAAUGCUAGGUGUAGGGGGUAUCGACCCCUUCUGUGCCGCAGUUAACACAAUAAGCAUUCCGCCUGGGGAGUACGGCCGCAAGGUUGAAACUCAAAGGAAUUGACGGGG
rnacentral:rRNA from 1 species